GGGGGCUUGACUUCAAAUAAAUCAACUAGUCGAUUUCAAAUAAUUUAGAACAAACAGUGAAGGCUACUUAAUUUAUACAAUUAAUUUUCCGAGUGUCACAAUUAUUUUAUCAUGCUUAAGGGUAAAGAAAAUCAUAUCAUGAGAGUAUUCAAUGAGAAGCAGGGCAACUUAAACUCGCACAAAAUCAGAUUCGCCAAAAUUUAACACAUCGAAACUUGGCAGAGAAAGGUCCUUGAUAAUGUUUCCAGAAAACAUAUAGCUAAUUUAGAGACUUGGACAAAUGUCUUUAUAGAUUAUACAAAUUCAAAUGGAAAGACAAGGAAAUUUCAACGCUUCAUCACUUAGAUUCACAACUCCAAAUUACAUGAAAACGACCAUGAAGAGAUUACAAAGUAAACGAGUUUAGACACUUAAAACUUACUCAAAACUGAUCUACUUUAAGCUAAAGGAAUAAAAGAAAACGUUAAGACAUUCAAGAGAGACUUAAACUUUCAAUCAUGACCACAGUGAGGUAGCAUACAUUAAUAGUGACUAAAGAAAACAACAGUAAGGCAAGAGCUGCAAUAUACUAAACAAAAGAAGAAGGAAACAUUCACAUUUAAGGUGCUAAAAAGUAAAUAAACUAUUACAAAAAUAAGCAACACACAUGAAUGAUAAAAUGAAAGAAACAGAGAUAAAAAUUACUCAAGAAAAGAAAGAAAAUUACCUGGUUCUGGGCAGCGAAUCGGAACGACGAGUUUGACGGAGACGAUUCCACCACCUCUUUCAACUCGAACGACCACAAAAUCCACAAAAUUUUAAACUAUUGAACCGAGAAUUCCCAAACCUUUUAGGGGUACUCUCAAGUCUCAAAAAUCCGUCCCUUGAACAGUGAGCAAAAAAGGGUAUUUAUAAGGCAGCUUCUAGGUCGAAAUUGAGGGAGAAAACGAUGUGGGAAAAUCCGAAAUUCAAAAAUCUUAAAGGAUAAGGCUAGGUGAGCUGGAGGGUGUACGAAUUCGUACUAUUUUGAAUGAAAUUAGAAAAGGAAAAAUCGAAAAAAAUGGAAGUAUACCGUUGAGGAACAAUCCAAGAAGUUUCGCGUGUUCGGCCUCGUGCCAGGCACGCCCUUACUGUAUGAAUUCAUAUGAGGAUUUGGAGAAAUGGGGUCGUUUUGAUGAUGGGUUGGAGGUUGUUCUUCG
rnacentral:lncRNA from 1 species